rnacentral:lncRNA from 1 species
GGCUCACCCUACUGACUCCCCCAUAUACACUGUAGCAGGCUCACCCUUUCAACAAACUAAUAAAUGGGAAACAUUUGAUGAGGUAUUAAUUAGUAUUUGUUGUUUUGAAAUCUCCCCCCUUUCCUCUCUUUCCCCUUCCUUCAGUCUUUCCUUGGCUGUUUCCUUUGCAAUGAAGAAGCUCUCUAAUUUAAUAUAGCAUGUGUUUCAUAUGUGUAUGUUGCACUGGGAACUAGGGUACUGCUUUUAUUAUUUUUUUUAAUGAAGAUGUCUUCCAGUUGGUGUUUACUUUUCUCCCGUGUAGAGACUUCAGUUAUAAAAUUCUGUCAUGAAAAUUCAUAUCUCAUUAACAUCAUGACUAGCAAACCAUAGUGUGUUUGUGCCUGAACAAAGAAACAUCUAUUUUGAGUCCUAAGUCUUAUAAUAUCCCAUAAGAAUAUUGUCCCAUUCAUCAAGUGCAGCCCAAUUCUUAUCUUUCUCAAAGAAAAAAAAAUCUUUUUACAAAUUUAGUAGAAAUCAUGCUUCCUCUAUGAACCAACGGACUAUCCUUUCUGGACACAGAUGUGAACAGCUGUUGCUAGUCCUCAGGGGAGGACCCCAGGCUGUCUUUCCUUCUUUCUCAUUCCCACACCUAUAAAUUUGGCCUGUUCACACUUUCCAGGGAUGAAUUCAGUCUUCAGAGUCAUGGUAACCAGUCCCAGACUGUGCAACUGACACGCUUUGAAAUGCCAGCAUAUAAGAUGCAUGGAGUCUGCUGCUAUCCCGGAGCUUCAGAUAUCUGGAUAAAUACAGACUGGAGUAAAUGCUAACAGUUACCACACAGCUGCUUGUGCAAACUAUAGACGAUAGAGUCUGGAGUUCGGCAGACCAGCCAAAACGCCACGGUUGCCUCCUGAUGACCUACAUCUGCUCUCUGCCUGGAGCCAAUAAUGCAAGCAGUAUUUUCAUCACGAAGCAUCUAGAGAGAAAAGAUUUCACAACUUCCUAG